rnacentral:piRNA from 1 species
UGAUUCUCUCCUACACCUGUCCUCAUUCU